GAAGAAUUAAGAUCCCGCAUGCCUCAAGGUGCAGCCAAAAAAAUAAAAGAAAAAGGAAACUGGAUGUAUUCUCUCACUCAUUCAUUCCUUCGGACACUUAGUGAGCUUUUAUGUUAUCCACCUAACUGCUGGGAAGACCUCAGUGAACAAGACAUUGGUACUCCUGGUUCUUGAGAUUUGGGACUCAGAUCGGGACUCACACCAUCGGUUCCCUAAUUCUCAGGCCUUUGGACUCGGACUGAAUUACACCACUGGCUUUCCUGGUUCUCCAGCUUGCAGAUGGAAGAUUAUGGGACCUCUCUGCUUCCAUAACCAGAUGCAGAAACUGAGGUACAGAAAGGUGACUAGGCCAAGGUCACACACUUCAUAUGUGGUAACGGAUACAGACCACCAACAAAUCCCACGUGGAAGAAUAUUUUCAGGAUGCUGGUCCCCAAGAUUGGUCUUCCAAAGACAGUUAGGAGCAUAACUGCAUACCUUCUAAGCUGCAAACAGCACCAAGUAUGAGUAAGUUGCAAAGCAACAAGAAAACACAACAUAAAACCUUACAAGGUGGAAAUCAAUUGUACUUUUGGAUGGUUUAUGCCUAUAAUCAUGGUUCUUAGGUGAUUUAUUCAUAACAAAAAUGUCUCCCAUUUCUCCAUUUUGAAGAACUGAGAGAAAAAAAUUUUCCAGGCACACUUCAAGCCUCAGACACAUUCUGAAGACCUUUGGGGUCAGUCUGACCCUACUUCUUUAAUUUCUUGUGAAAAUCUUUUUAAUUGUCUGUGUUUCUCUUUGGAAGGAGAAUAAAGUGUUGCAUGGUAGGUACUCCUGGCCCUUUCUUUCUCAGGCAAAAUAUGUGCCACAGAGCUGCUUCCUGCAGUUGUGUUAUCUAAAUGA